AGAGUAAGUGAGGCAGUCGCUCUUAAAUUUUUUUAAGAGAGGAAAGUCCGAACACUACAGAGCAACGAGCCGGAUAACGUCCGGGCGUUUGACUUAAACUCUCAAACGACGACAAGUGCAACAGAAAACAGACCAGCCGAAAUUUAUUUCGGUGAUGGGUGAAAUGGUGAGGUAAGAGCUCAUCGGCAUAUUUGGUAACAAAUACUGCUCAGGCAAACUCCUCGUGGUGCAAGACCAAAUAGGGAAACGUAAACUCUUGAGCUGCUCGCUCAAAUUUUGUAGAAAUACAAAAGGCGUUUUCGGGUAGGUCGCUCGAACUUUUUGGUAACGAAAAGUCCAGAUGAAUGAUUGCCGGUUCAAUUAUUUUUGAAUCUACAAAAUUCGGCUUAUGAAUUUACUCAAAUU
rnacentral:RNase_P_RNA from 1 species